GGUGCACAUCACCGCUGGCGUGGCCAAAGGUGCAGAAGCCUAUAGGACUCGUCAGAGACCGAAAUGGCCAAAUUUCCGGAACAACGCGGAAUCGGGGCGAGCCUCCUAUGACAAUUUCACGAAGGAGACUCUGAUGGCAACCUGGUGGACGAACAAUUUAUUCUCGUGGCUGGAAUUGCUUCUCCGCCUCCCUCUUGAAAAGACAAACGCCCUGUCGCAGUCCUAGAGUUCCUUCAGAAACAAACAACGCUCCCCUACACGUCCAUCCGGGUUGGUCGCUACAGAACCAACUCUCCCUAGCUCCUUCCGCCUCCGCCGGCGGGCAGAACCGGGUCCAGGGAAGCGGAGGCCACCGCCAGGGCCAGAGGACACCACUUUCUCCGGGUACCGAACUGG